GGGUGCGAUCAUACCAGCACUAAUGCACCGGAUCCCAUCAGAACUCUGAAGUUAAGCGUGCUUGGGCAAGAGUAGUACUAGGAUGGGUGACCUCCUGGGAAGUCCUCGUGUUGCACCCC
rnacentral:rRNA from 1 species